rnacentral:rRNA from 1 species
GAUGAACGCUGGCGGCGUGCUUAACACAUGCAAGUCGAACGAUGAAGCCCAGCUUGCUGGGCGGAUUAGUGGCGAACGGGUGAGUAACACGUGAGUAACCUGCCCUUGACUCUGGGAUAAGCCCGGGAAACUGGGUCUAAUACCGGAUAGGAGCGCCUGUCGCAUGACGGGUGCUGGAAAGAUCUUUCGGUCAUGGAUGGACUCGCGGCCUAUCAGCUUGUUGGUGAGGUAACGGCUCACCAAGGCGACGACGGGUAGCCGGCCUGAGAGGGUGACCGGCCACACUGGGACUGAGACACGGCCCAGACCCCUACGGGAGGCAGCAGUGGGGAAUAUUGCACAAUGGGCGAAAGCCUGAUGCAGCGACGCCGCGUGAGGGAUGACGGCCUUCGGGUUGUAAACCUCUUUCAGCAGGGAAGAAGCGAAAGUGACGGUACCUGCAGAAGAAGCGCCGGCUAACUACGUG